GGAUCACGUCAUACUCUGGCCGCUGAGUCAUAAGCAGGGUAUCGUUCUCCAGUACAUAGUUGGCCUUCAGGAGAGGAAAGAUGGGAUGAGAAAAACAGGACCUUCACAGGACAUCCAUAAAGCUCAUGGGCUACGGUAACAUAGCAACCCCAUGUACACUGCACCAGAUGUCUAUACAGAGAAUGCAGUCUUACCUUGACGAAGGACACAUUUGAGGGGAACUCUCCGGGCCGUGGGCUGGAUGAUUCUGUUAGUGGAGGUGCAGCGAUGGGUCCUCUGGCGAUGCGCAGGGACAUGGGAAAAGAGCAGCUCACAGAGUGAUCAGCGGUGGCUGAAUCACAAUCUUCCUGCUCCAUUUCCUCUGUUUUGCAGCUUUGCCUCUGGGUCCCUGCCUCAUCUGUGUGACAGGAGUCAUUGUCAUUUACAGCUGCUGCAAGGACACUUUCUUUCUUCUCUGGUUUCCCAUUUUCAUUCCUGUUCUCUGCUUCAUUGUGCUUCUUUUCAGUGCCAGUGUGACUAUCAUUUCCAUUCCUCUCCUCCUGUUCAGUGCAUGUUUUCUCCUGCAUAGCACGUCUGGCCUCUUGGGUCUGCAGCUCAGAAAGAUAAUGUCUGAUGUUCUUUCGGGCUGCAUGUACGAGACCGCCGUCAAUAUCCAGGCCUAAUAUGCGGGCAGGUUUUAGCACUUUGGCAAUAUAAAGUGUUAGAUGGCCUGAGUUGCAUCCCAGAUCCAGUACCUCUUUACCUUCAAACCAUUCUGGACGAAGCAAACGCACCCUUGAAUCUUCACUAGCACCUGGGUUGCGGUAGCCGUAGUACUUGUUGUAGUUCCCGUAUUGGAACUUCCUCUGGUUCUCCUUCACCUGGUUGUGGUGCUGCUGGUGCUUAGAACCACUCCUUGGGGUGUGGAACGACUGGGAAUUUCUCUGUCCCCCUGUACCACAACACUUAUCAGCAGAGCCUGACUUUCCAAUGGGGGUAGAAUGGGUUACAGGAGGCUCCAUUUUGCCAGAGUUGCGCCUGCGCUUGCGUCUGCUUGUAUGAUGGUUUGGUCCUCCCAAUAUGGAGGAAGUGGAAUCCUCAAUAGAUGCAGAUGUCAUUUCUUCCUUAGAGUUGGCAGAAUUGUUAGUUGAAUGCUCAUGGGAUUCCUUUGUGGUACUGGAGAAACUGUCUGAGUCUUUGGAGAGAUCUAGUGCAGAACAUGAGGCCAAUGUACCUGGAAGCAGUAUGGAGCUGCCAGAUGUAACCUCACCUUUUCCUGAUUCUGAGAGAUUGAUCUGUGUGGAGGAAAUACCACCUCCACUUCCCCCUCCCCCAUGGUGUCUGUUGCGGUGUCUCUUCCUGCCACUGCUCCUAUAGGAGGACACUAAAAAGCUGCUGUCUGCUAUACCACUGUUAAGGUUCAGUGGAUCCGUGAUGUCCCUGGGUAUAAGGAUCUCCACUGGGUCUCGACUCUUUGCUGGAAGAGGGGAGGAUUUGGGUGUCUCUGCAUUCAGUGCCCUAUUGACAUCCUCAUCCAGCAGGCUGUUGAGAUUCAGGGGGUCAAAAAUGUUCCCACCUAAAAGGAAGUUGGUUGGCAGGACGGAGUCACUCUCAGAGUUCGCCCUUCGUCUCCUCUUACCAGAUGAUGGAUGCUUGAAACUAGAGCUUGCUGUGUUGCGCCGUUUUGCUAGCUUUGUUUGUUGCUGUUGUUUGGAAUGAUGAAAGCUGUUCCUGCGAUUGAUGUUAUUCUCGUUCCCUCUGGCUCUUUCUCCAGCAUUAUCUGAGUGAGAAAACGCGUCAGUCGUGCUGGUGUGUUUAGGUGAGGCUGCAGUGCCUGGGACAGGACAUGCAGCAGCACAGUCAGGUGGGUCAGGUGGGUCUCUGGUACCCUCCACCAUUACAGAUAUAUUACUGUAACCUCCAGUACAAUCUGGGAGCUGCAGGAAUGAAGCAGAGCUGGCCUGGGGACUGCCAGUUUUUACUUUAUCUUCAUGAGCAGACAUCUCUUAUGGUUUCCAAGUGAUACGGAUUUGGAAGUAUUCUGGAUCUGAAAGUCACAGAACAGAGUGAUGUUUGUUCAGGUAGUAAUUAACGUAUUUCAAAUGCAAUUAACAUAUUUCAAAUGCAAUCUACUGAAUACAAUAAAUAUACAUGUGAAUGGUGAUUGUUGUUGAUUGUUGACAUGAUGAUCAUGUAAUUUAAUGUCAAAAUAAUGUAACAUUACAAAUAAGUUAACACGCUAUCAUUCUUACACAUUGGAGCUUUAACGACAAUGAUAGAAGUGCAUGUAUAUUCAUCUUCUUUGAGGCGACAGUUAAAUUUGCAAAACUUUACCUGGAAACCCGAAUGUUGUAAAUAAAUUUCCUUGUGAUGCCUGAUAAAAAUCAUACAAUAAUACCAUCCUUACUUUAAAAUGCAACAACACUAACACUACUUUAUCACACAUCUGGGAUCCUGGAACCUUAGCCCAGGGACUUGUUUCCUCUAGAGAGCAACUCAAACACGGGGUCAGGUCAGCUGAGGUUCCUUCACUUUCCACUGUCAUUUACAAACACCGUGUUACAGAAACAAGUGUCACUUUAAAUUAAGACUCUCGAGAACUGCGCUAUUGUUAGAAAGGGGACCUGUUAUAAACAAUGUCUAUCCUGACGGGGUUACUGACCUCAAAAGUUUUGGUGGACAGUUGUGGUGGACAGUUAGCACGCUAGCUCCUAGCUUCGCUGUCGCGGGCCAGAACGUUGAGUAAACGUUGGGCUCCAAUCUAGAUGCUAAAACGCGUUGUUUGUCAGAAACAGUUAACUCGGACACGCGGCUGCCUAAAACCACUUCAGUUUGAGUCACGGACGCUUAUGAGGGAGAUAUUACCUUUCAAAUGGCCACCAUACGCAUACAGUCAACAGUGUAGUCACCAUCAAAAUAACAGUCAGUCUCACCUCUCAGUUUGUUUCUACUCCCCGCCUCCGGCCGGACUGUCACUACCCCACGACUCGACUCAAGCUAACGUUAGCGUAGCUAGCAACACAAGUGUCCCUGCAACGGCAAUACAAAACCCAAACACGCAGGUAAACAUAGCGCGGCUGUUCGCGCCGCUGUGUCCGCAGCAACGGCGUCUCCGACCCUCACAGUGCCCCGUCGUCCACUUCUCCAGUCAACUCCAGUGUCAGGCAGAUUGGUGUAUAAAUGAUUCCACUCGCUGAUAGGGUCGGCAUGGCGGCGCAUCCGGGCUCCGAGCUAAAGCCGAAGAUGACUGGGGCGGAGAUCUGUGAGUGGUGGCCGCAAGAUGUUUGAGGCCCACCUGCAAUACCACCAGUGCACACCAGUGGGCCUCAGUUCACACUUUGGGAAGCAAUGGCAUAAACGAGAAAUCCAUGAAUCAACAACUUCCAAUGCUGACCCUAUGUAGCCAAAGGUCACCGGUUUGGAUCCCUGUUUGACCGAGGGCCUUUCUGGAGUUUGCAUGUUCUUCAUGGAUUCUUUCUGCAUUCUCCGGUUUCUUCCCACAGUCCAAAAACAUGCACAAUCCUCAUGUGGAGGAUAAAGCAAUAGAAAAUGGAUGGAUGUGCUAAAUGUGAUCAGAAGGUAAUUUUAGCAGUACUACAAGUAGCCACUGGGGGGAGACAAAAUAUGCAGUGUAGCAGACUACAUGUACACAUAAAAUAUAGAAAUACUCCUCUCUCUUCUUUUUAAUCUGUGUUUGAUUGAAUUAAAACCUAACAUGUUGCUGUUAAGCUUUUCAAAUAUAUUUGUUUUUGAAUAAUAUAAAUAAUAAUAAUAAUAAUAAAAAAGAAAAUACGGUAUUCAUUUAAAAAGCAAUAUUGUUGAGAAUUAGUUGAGAUUAUGAGAAAUUCUCACUUAGUGGUUGGCAAGAUUAGUAAAUCAAAAUAACAGAGCUGCCUCGUUCCACCCACAGAGCGGCUUCAGCCCUGAAAAAUGUGCAGCUGUGGCAACAAAGAUGUUUAUGUGUUAAGGGAAAAGAUGCCUCCAGUGAAAAGAAAGACAAACACCAGCAAUCCUUCAGGAAUCUGGAAAGGCUUGCAUUUUAUUUUUCUUUCUUUUUUUCUUAAAUCGGAAAACACAUUGACGUCUUAAGCAGUUUAUGUAUUGACAUUGGGCUGGAAUUUCAUCCGCUUUCAAUCAACUUGUAUGUCAAGUAAAAACUGAAAAAAUAGCUUAAGGGGGCCCAUUGGAACAGUUUGCUGCAAUAUAUUCUAACUUUAAAAAACACAAGAUAUAAUCUUCCCAAAUAAUAAUCAACAAGUAAAGCAGGUUUUCUCUUUUACCCAUUAAUUUGAUUUCCCACACUUUACUGUUUACAUUUUCAGUAUAAAUCUGCAGUGUGUGCACAUUUAAGAUAAUUUUUACUGAAUUUACCACGUGUAAAUUUAAGGCUGCAGCUGAAUAAAAAAGGCCUUUAUUUAAUCAAAAUGGACAGUACUCAAAAGUAGCUACAUGCACCAUAAAAAAAAAAAUUUAUCAUGACAUUUAAAAAAAAUGUAGUCACCCAAAAGUCAAAUUGCAAAAUAAGACCUGCAUAAUAAAAGUGGAUGUGGAAAUCUUAAAUAUGGAUCAAAAAUAGGCAUGUGCAGGCUACUGUAGAUCAGAAAAACUGGAUACUCAAACUUCAUAUUAAUUGCUGUGUUGACAGCAGGCUUCUAAUUGGGUCCCAGAUCAGGCUCUGUUGGGUAAAUGAGUCACUCCUCUCUAAUCUCUAUAGAAGAGGAAAAUAGGAGCGAGGGUACCUGUUCCCCCGCCUCUGUCCACCUCUUUUCUCAUGUAAAUGGGGGUGCGGUCCUCAAUCCCGGAGACCAUCUGCCCUUCCUCAGGGUUUGGGCCCCAAGCACUCCAGACGUGUCCUAUUGUCUGUGUGUGUCCAGGCAGAAAGUGGUGAGUACACAUGGUUCUUGUGGCCCAAAAGGCUCCUCCAUCAAGGGUAAAAGCCUGCUGUUCAUUAGACCACAUGUGACAGAGCUCGCGUGUCCUGUGUACUGAAACUUCAAGGGGAUCCACCAUUUGUUUUGCUGGGGAGUGCUGUUCGGAUUUAAUGAGUGAUGUCAUUGUAAGUAACCGUUGGUUGAGGGAUGACCAGACAGGUCGACAUGCUGUGCAUGCUUCUUUCUGAAGGUGUCAUCACCAUCACUUUUUUUUUAUCACAAUUAACUCAAACACAAAUAAGUAAAACAUAGAUUUAUAGUGUUAUGAGGAAAAUGAGCAAGUUUGGUUCACAUUAGCAUUGUGUGGGACGGAGCAAAAUGUCAUUUGCAGUCUUUGGAAGACCUUUGACCUUUGAUUUAUAAUGAAUUGAUUGCAAACCAAAUGAUUACAAUUAGAGUUACUGACUGAUCCAAGGAGCACAUAUUCAGAGUUCAUUUAUUCUAUAGGCCCUAUGCAGAACAGGGCAUCUUUUUUUUUAUUCUCCACUCUGCAACUGAGAUGUGUGCAUCAUCUCUGACCUAUAUCCACAAAAUCCUCAUGUGAACUGAAAGGUUAACCCCGACAACGCUCACAAACAGAUUAUGACUUUCCAUUGGGCUUGCCCGGCUCAUUUUCAAAGCCGCAUGCUGCCGUCUGCAUUGAAAUUAGUUAUUGAACAGUGGAAGCUCAGGGAAACGAGGCCGCGUCAGUGGUGGAGCACACAAUAAGCCAGCUGUCAGUGGGAGGGGCUUGUUCAAACCAGUGUUGUCAUGGAUAGUACUUUUGUGUUGUGUUUCCCUCCGAGAGCUCAUAGGUGCUGCUGUGCAAGGCCCGCUAUGCCCCUGACUGAUAUUGACAAGAGGCUUAAUUGAAGACAGACAAAAAGACAUACAUCUUCAUGGAGUGAUGAAGAGGGAGGCCGAAGAAAUACUUCUGCAAAUAGUGAGAUGUUGAAAAUGUACAUGAGAUGUUGCUGUAAAUGAUCAAAUAGACUGGCCUGGAUGGAAAAGAUGCAUUGCCAUAAAAUGAGAGGACUUGUUUUGCACAUUGGAGCAAUGCACAAUAUACCCCUCUAUUCUCGCGAAGGCAAAAACUUUCAAGGAGCCGUAAAAGGUGCACACAAAUACAAUUAGGAGACUGCAGUUGUGCAGCACAGUGGUGCUAAAUGAUAACAGCAGAAAACAAGCAUGCUCAUGCUCCAAGCAAGCAGUCUAUCAAAUCUUCGUUGAGAAAGCAUGGUAAGUAAAUUCUGCGAAAGGAAAAGUUGGACAAUGAAUCUCUAAUAAGGUUGUCACUUUAUCCAGAAAACAGGUUUAUAUUGAUAUUAUACAUCUUGCUAUUUCUUUGUAGACAUCUUAUACCUGUCCCACACUAGAGGAUAAUUUGACUCUCUUUUGAACAUCUGGCCAAAUUAUCCUAUAGUUUGAGGGGUUAACAGACGCGAUCUUUAACGUCAUCAGACGCAUAAUGUACAGCACAAGCACAAAGCUGGUUAUUGUUGUCCAGGAAUGGAACCCAAACUCUUGAAUAUCUGUAUACAAAUGACAUGAAUUUGUGGUAGCGUGGUGUCUCACUAUGAAGUUUGAAUUCUGCGAGGAUUAUGUUGGAAUCCAAUGGCCUUAUAGAGUUGGACCUGUGAUGGACAGCUGACUCAUCCAGGGACUUUCUUCUCCAUGAGCUGACUUCAAGGUUGACCAUCCAUAAUUGCAGUCACAUGUGAGGAGUGACAAGCAUAGACAAUGAUUUCAAUUGUUGCUGCUGAUGUUUUAAAACUUGGAUUGACAAAAAAAACGGACACAUUUGUCCUGCAGUAGAUGUCCAAAUGAAAUCACAUCUGCGAGGCCAGUAUUAUCCAGAUGUUUUCAUCAAGUUUCAAAUGCUUUAUGGACAUUUUUCCUGGUCUAACUGUGGCUCGCGGCCUCUGUGUCACUGCACAAUGAGCCUUGUUGUCUCUGCUGGAAAUGGAAAUAUUAUAGAUUUUUAUGAAACAUUUUUAAAUAAAAUGUACUGACACAAAGGCCAGCCUCUAAUGUAAAUAACAGGAGGAACAUUGUCUUUCUUUUUUAUCAUCCGCAUACUGUAUGAGUGAAGACCGUCACAGAACAGCCAUAUUUCUCUCCGACAGAGGAUCGACAUUAGAGGGGUUGUCAGGACAACCAGCCAUGAUUCACAGAGCCUCAGAUCGGCCUCCACCUUAGGCUUGAAGCACUAGCCAUGAGACAGAGCAGAUGCUGUGACAGUUGGCCAAUCACAGGUAAGAUAGAGAAAAAAGAUGACAUCAUAGGCAAAUUAGGGCAAACGCAUGGAGUAUUUUGGUUGUCGUCCCUGCCGCUGCUUUUUUUAUUCACUUUUUAUACUCU